AUAACGUUUAUAUUGCCACGGUAACGGGCUGCCGGAACCGGAAGUGAAAAUAUGAAGCUUCUUCUUUACAAUGCCUCCUUAUCGCCUCCGCCUCCGCCAAAGCCUCUAUUAAUUGCUUUCUGUCAUCAGCUCAAAACCCUAACCUUCUCCUCCGACUCAAAUUCUUCACGAGAAAUACGAAAGCUCGCCCAAGUUUUGAGUACGGCAGGAGUCUCAAUCGCGCUCUCCUUGGGGCUCGUAUUUUCGUCUCCUUCCAAUUCAACCGCACUGGACUCAUUUCCGUUGAUUUCAUCAUCCUCUAUCUCUCUCACAGAACUGAAUUCUGUGAAACGGGAAUCGUAUUGCCGUGAAGAAGAUGUGGCGGAUCCUGAUUUGACGGCGCCCGUACCGGAAGAAAUGACCAAUGAGGAGAUAGUGGAGGAGGCUUGGCAGAUUGUUAACGAUAGCUUUCUUGACACCGGUCGCCACCGCUGGUCUCGUGAUACCUGGCUUAAAAAGAAGGAAGAUAUACUAAGUACCUCGAUUCAGACAAGAUCGAAAGCUCAUGAGAUCAUCCGCCGAAUGUUAGCGAGCUUGGGCGACCCGUAUACUCGUUUUCUUUCUCCUUCCGAGUUCUCCAAGAUGGCAAGGUAUGAUAUGACUGGAAUUGGGAUAAACAUCAGGGAGAUCCCAGAUGAUAAUGGAGCUAUGAAACUGAAGGUUUUAGGGCUCAUUUUGGAUGGCCCUGCCCACUCUGCUGGUGUCAGACAGGGUGAUGAAUUGCUGUCUGUUAAUGGUGUGGACCUGAAGGGAAAAUCUGCCUUUGAAGCUUCAUCACUGUUACAAGGACCCAGUGAAACAUUUGUCAACAUCACGGUCAAGCAUGGGAACUGUGGACCUAUUCAAUCCAUUAUGGUACAAAGGCAAUCUAUUGCAAAGACCCCAGUUUUUUACCGAUUGGAGCAGGUUAAAAAUGGUCCCAGUUCGGUUGGUUAUGUGCGCCUAAAAGAAUUCAAUGCAUUGGCCAGAAAGGAUUUGGUUACAGCAAUGAAGCGACUCCAAGACAUGGGUGCCUCUUUUCUUGUUCUUGAUCUUAGAGAUAACCUUGGUGGACUAGUACAGGCUGGUAUUGAAAUCGCUAAGCUCUUUCUGAGUAAAGGGGAAACUGUGACUUACACUGUUGGCAGGGAUCCACAGUAUAUGAAGAACAUAGUUUCCGACACUUCACCUCUUUUUACUGCUCCUGUCAUUGUUUUGGUGAACAAAAAUACUGCUAGUGCAAGUGAAAUUGUGAGCAGUUGCCACUGCACUUCAUGAUAACUGCAGAGCUGUUCUUGUAGGGGAGAAGACAUACGGAAAGGGUUUGAUUCAAUCAGUGUUUGAGCUUCAUGAUGGAUCCGGCGUGGUUGUCACUGUUGGGAAAUAUGUGACACCAAAUCACAUGGAUAUAAAUGGAAACGGCAUUGAGCCUGAUUUUCGAAAUCUUCCUGCUUGGUAUGAAGUCACCAAAUAUCUGUCCGAAUGUCAUAGGCGACAAGAAGGAUGAUAUUGUGACUAAUUAACCUUCUUGUAAGGGAUUAUUGGCUCGUCCUUGUACACUCGAUUCAUGGCUCAUGUCCGCAGCCACAGGCUUCAAUUAGGUAUUGGUUUAGCGAAGUACAAGAGAUUGGUGAAGAUAUAUUAGUAUUGUAUUGUUUGAUUCUUAAAGGAUAAAGUUGUUCUAUCAAACAGGUAAGGUUACAAAAUAUAGCUUUGGAAUCAGCUCUCUGUGCUGGAGAAUCUACAGGCUAAUGCCAUUUGUAACUGAAACAUUCCUGCUUUAUUUACUCAAAUAUUAGUAGAAAAAGUGCAAAAGCUCUAUUUGGCUAUGGC